UACGGAGGGUGCAAACGUUGCUCGGAAUCAUUGGGCGUAAGGCGCACGUAGGCGGACCGCUAAGUCGGAUGUGAAAGCCCUCGGCUUAACCGAGGAAGUGCAUUCGAAACUGACGGUCUUGAGUAUGGAAGAGGGUCGCGGAAUUCCCGGUGUAGAGGUGAAAUUCGUAGAUAUCGGGAGGAACACCAGUGGCGAAGGCGGCGACCUGGGCCAAUACUGACGCUGAGGUGCGAAAGCGUGGGGAGCAAACAGG
rnacentral:rRNA from 1 species